GAUUUAGAAAAGUUGACAUCUUGUUGUAAUUUUUUUCGUGUUUCCCAAGGCUUUCUAAAUGAGGUAAUACCUAAAAUUAACCAAUAAAAAUCUGGAAGUAGAAG